rnacentral:rRNA from 1 species
GGGGCUUGACAUGGUAGAAGUAGGAACCCGAAAGGGUAACGAACGGUAUCCAGUCCGUAACUAUCAC